UGUGGUUAGCGGUGAAAUGCCAAUCGAACUCGGAGAUAGCUGGUUCUCCUCGAAACAGUUUUAGGACUGGCGUCGUGUCGUAACAUACGGGGGUAGAGCUCUGUAAAGGACUGGGGCGGGCAACUGUACCCACCCUUAACAAACUACGAAUACCGUAUGCGGAAUCACGGCAGUUAGAACGGCGGAGCUAAGUUCGUCGCUCGAAAGGGAAACAGCCCAGACCAUCAUCUAAGGUCCCUAAAUUAACGUUCAGUGGGAAACAAGGUGAGAUUUCUUAAACAGCUAGGAUGUUGGCUUAGAAGCAGCCAUUCAUUUAAAGAGUGCGUAACAGCUCACUAGUCAAGAGAUCUUGCGUGGAAAAUGUAACGGGGCUAAAACGUUAUACCGAAGAUAUGGGUCUAUACAUUAGUAUGGGCGGUAGAGGAGCGUUCCUAUCAGCAGUGAAGUCGAAUCGGAAGGUUCGGUGGAGCGGUAGGAAGUGAGAAUGCUGGAAUGAGUAACCAUAAGAGAGGUGAGAAUCCUCUCGGCCGUAAGAGCAAGGUUUCCUGAGCUAUGGUAAUCAUCUCAGGGUUAGUCGGGCCUAAGCCGAGGCGCAGAGCGUAGGCGAUGGACAUCAGGUUAAUAUUCCUGAACCGGUUAAGUUUUGUACACUGUUCACGGGGAAGUAAUCGAAGCGGAUUCAUGGUUUAUCCGUCCAACCGAGCGGGAACGCAAAGGGAGUGAAAGUGAUUCUUCGGAGUCGCGAUUUUGGUGAAAGCCCUGGCUAGAAAAGCAGGUGUACGCGUGGACUUAGCCGCCCGUACCGCAAACCAACACAGGUGCUCGAGUCGAGUAGACUCAGGCUUACGAGUGAACCUUCGCUAAGGAACUCGGCAAUACAGCGACCGUAACUUCGGGAUAAGGUCUGCCCCCACUUCGGUGGAUAUCAGCCGCGUUCACUCAGUGAAUAAUAGGUUAAAGAGUACAUUUUUAAUCACAAAACGAAUUUUCUGAGACACGAGCAAACAAAUUGCUCUUUGAACGCGAACCUCUUGUAUCUAACGAUGUGGGGGCCGCAGCAAAAGAGCCCACGGAACUGUUUAUCAAAAACACAGGUCUCUGCUAACACGAAAGUGGAUGUAUAGGGGCUGACUCCUGCCCGGUGCCGGAAGGUUAAGGGGAGUGCUUCACGGUACAAACUGAAGCCCCGGUGAACGGCGGCGGUAACUAUAACCGUCCUAAGGUAGCGAAAUUCCUUGUCAGGUAAGUUCUGACCCGCACGAAUGGAGUAAUCAUGUGGGCACUGUCUCAGCGAAGGACUCGGUGAAAGUGCAUUGGCGGUAAAGAUGCCGUCUGUCCGUACCAGGACGAAAAGACCCCAUGGAGCUUUACUACAGCUUUACAUUGAAUACGGUUUCAACAUGUGUAGCAUAGGUGGGAGACGUUGAAGCAGAUACGCCAGUAUUUGUGGAGUCACCAAGUGAAAUACCACCCUUGUUGUGAUUGUGUUCUCACGCUGACCGUUAUCCGGUUAGCGGACCGUGUAUGGUGGGUAGUUUAACUGGGGCGGUUGCCUCCUAAAGAGUAGCGGAGGCGUUCAAAGGU
rnacentral:rRNA from 1 species